GUCCAGGCAGUCACAUUAUUAGAAAAAUAGGAAGUACAGUUUGCAGUGAAAAUAGAACGAAACAGAACCUCAAUGUUAAUUUGUUAGAACAUCAGCCGUGUCUGCCCCUUUGGGACAUCCCUCAGCCAGGGGCCUCAUCGGCAUCAGCAAUGCCCUCUCCUGCAAGGAUCCAGAAACACCAAGCCUAGAAAACGGCUGCAGCAUGGUGGGGCUGUGGUGAAUGUAGCUCUAUCGGAGUUGGUACGCUCCAUGCAGUAUGGAAACUGCACAGUGUCUACAGUGAAUUGCAAGGGGUCCUUCCCAAUGUGAUGGUCACUCUCUCGCUGUGACCCAAUGGCUCACCACUGCUGGAUGUCCUGGUCCAUCCUUGUGUGUCUUCACUGGAUGCCUCUGGCCCCUACAAGUUCCCCUUCUCCCAUUGAGUCUUUCAGGUCCCCGUGCCACCCAUCCUCCCUGUCAGCUGAAGGAGUAUGACAACCAGCUGCAUUUGACUGUGAGGAACAGCUCUGAGUACUGUGAGGCACAUCUGCCGUUCUUUAACAGGCCAGAAGUUCCCCAAGUCCAGUGAGGUGUCACUAGACAGCACUGAGUUUCUUAGGGCAGCUCCCAGGACCUACAGAUCCUCUCUGCACAGACCUUACAGUCUACAUCAAACAACUGGACAACAGGAUUCUGGUGACCAGGUUUGAAUCUGUGACACAGACAGCAUCCAACGUUAUGAACCCAAUGGUCAAAGUACUGUAACUGAAUGGUUUGUUUCUGCUGUUGUUCUUACAGUCUCGGUCUCUUCUAAGAUGAAAAAUGCUGUUUCUCAUCUGUUCUGAACACAGAUCAAUCCCUUUUUUGUGAAAGAAUGUGCCUUAUUAAAUAGAGAUAAUGGUUAUUUAACUGAAUUCUAGUAAAGAGUAGUACUACUGGAUACGGAUAUUGAAAUGUAAAAAAUGGUAUUGAUGCUGCCAUUUUUGGAACUUGUUUGGCCAUCCCACUCCACAUCUCUUUAGAGUGUUGCCACCCUUAGCUCUGACAGUCCUACUUCAGUCCCACCCCUCCAUCAGCCGGAUAAUUAGCAGCUGGGGCCUUGUUUUCAGCUGGAGCUGAGGGCCUGUGGGAGACGGGGCUUGGCCUGUGAAAGGGUAAGCUGAUCUGGGCAGAGUCUGUGCCACAAAGGGCCCCUCUGGAGAACUGGCAGGACUCACUGGUUCCUCCCUGUGACUGCCCUGCCUGUCAGCCAGUGGUCUCUUCAAAUACCCAGCCUCUCCACUGAACCGCCCUCUAAAAAGUAGAGGCCCCAGCUGGCCAGAUGACUGGCUAAUUGGAGAAACUGGGUGUGGUGGCAUUAAAUAUUACAUGACAAAAAUAGGUUUAGCGUAGGGGUCCGGAUUCAGGUCUUAAUUGCAAUUUGAUUAGAGUAGAGCUCACCCAUGCAUGACCAUGAUAAAAAAAAAAGUAAAUUAAAAGAAAAUACAUCGGCAUGUCUACAAAAUGUGAACGAAGCUGUUUCCCAAGACAUACUAUAUGUAGACCCGGUUUUUAGUAAGGAAGGUACAUUGAACAAAAAUAUAAACGCAAAUUAAUUUGGCCCUAAUCUAUGGAUUUCACAUGACUGGGCCUGGGAGGGCCCACCUGGGAGGGUCCACCACCUGGGAGGGUCCACCCCCUGGGAGGGUCCACCACCUGGGAGGGUCCACCCCCUGGGGAGCCAGGCCCAGCCUAUAAGAAUAUGUUUUAUCCCACAAAAGGGCUUUGUUACAGAAAGAAAUGCUCAUCAGUUUCAUCAGAUGUCCGGGUGGCUAGUCUCAGAUGAUCACGCAGGUCAAGAAGCCGGAUGUGGAGGUCCUGGGUUGUCAUGGUUACACGUGGUCUGCGCUUGUGAGGCCAGUUGGACGUACUGCCAAAUUCUCUAAAACGAUGUUGGAGGUGGCGUAUGGUAGAGAAAUUAACAUUCAGUUCUCUAGCAAGAGCUCUGGUGGACAUUCCUGCAGUCAGCAUGCCAAUUGCACGCUCCCUCAACUUGAGACAUCUGUGGCAUUGUGUUGUGACAAAACUGCACAUUUUAGAGUGGCCUUUUGUUGUCCCCGGGACACGGAGCACCUGUGUAAUGAUCAUGCGGUUUAAUGAGCUUCUUGAUAGAUGGAUUAUCUUGGCUAAGGAGAAAUGCUCACUAACAGGGAUGUAAACACAUUUGUGCACAAUAUCUGAGAGAAAUAAGCUUUUUGUGCAUUUUCAACAUGUUGCGUUUAUAUUUUUGUCCAGUGUAUAUAUAAUGGUCAUAUAGACACUGCUAGGUAUGUGCACAUCUGGUAGUUGAAGAGUUAAAACAGGGGGAGAUUGUGAUCCACUGUGAGUGUGUUCCACUGUAGCCAGAUUCCUCUGAGUGCUCUAUUGUCCAGCACUGGCCUCUCUUGCCUUAUUGCUGGUGCAAUAGCCACAUUCACCAGGAUUUCCACCCAGGAGACUGACCAUGACCAAUCCUCUGUCAAUUGGAACCAAUUGCUAACAUGGCAUCUUUCACCUUUUUAUGUAGCAGUAUGGUAUGGCAGACACCAGGACCUCUGAGCCUUCCCUUUCUCCACAUUGAUUUGGCUUUAAGACUGUGUGUGUGUGUGUGUGUGUGUGUGUGUGUGUGUGUGUGUGUGUGUGUUGCUGACUGAUCUAAAGCUCUUGAGCAUCCCAUCCUGUUGUCAGCCUGACUCCUGAGGUCUGUGCAGUUACUGGGUUCCCACUGGCAGACAUGGCAUUGUUGGUUAAGUAAGGCUUUCUAAAUUAAUGGGCUCAUUAUAACAAGCCUCUGCUAGAAUGCCUUGAAUCCAUACCAUAGGCAUUCAUCUAAAUUGAGAUGCUGCAUUCUGGGGGAUUUUUUAAAAGCAAUUUCUUUUGAUUCAUUGACUUGUCAACUACUUGACCUAAUGGAGAAUAAAAAGCAUCUGCUUUUUAUUAAGAAGAUCAUGUAAUAAAGUUUAUGAAUACC